GCCCUGUGAUGACUGUUUUCAUGUGUCAACUUGGCUGGGCCACAGUACCUAGAUGAUUUUGGGGC
ensembl:snoRNA